AUUGAACGCUGGCGGCAUGCCUUACACAUGCAAGUCGAACGGUAACAGGUCUUCGGAUGCUGACGAGUGGCGAACGGGUGAGUAAUACAUCGGAACGUGCCUAGUAGUGGGGGAUAACUACUCGAAAGAGUGGCUAAUACCGCAUGAGAUCUACGGAUGAAAGCAGGGGAUCGCAAGACCUUGUGCCACUAGAGCGGCCGAUGGCAGAUUAGGUAGUUGGUGGGAUAAAAGCUUACCAAGCCGACGAUCUGUAGCUGGUCUGAGAGGACGAUCAGCCACACUGAGACUGAGACACGGCCCAGACUCCUACGGUAGGCAGCAGUGGGGAAUUUUGGACAAUGGGCGAAAGCCUGAUCCAGCAUUGCCGCGUGCAGGAUGAAGGCCUUCGGGUUGUAAACUGCUUUUGUACGGAACGAAAAGCCCCGGGUUAAUACCCUGUGGUCAUGACGGUACCGUAAGAAUAAGCACCGGCUAACUACGUGCCAGCCGCCGCGGUAA
rnacentral:rRNA from 1 species